ACCGAGCCGAGUCAACGAACAGAGACUAAGCGAGAUUAUCACCUACUUCGCUGUCGUUUUCAGCCUCAGUGGCGGCCACUGUUGCGGUAGAGUCUAAGCUACUGCCCGGCGAGGUUCGCCCAUCUUGCCCGAAACUAAGAUGAUUCGCCGCAUGGAGGCGCUGCUAGCACCACCACCAACGGUGGGGCUCCAGCGGCCGCACCUGUCUGCACGACCGCCACUCAACACACACUCACCCGUAUCACAAUAUUACCACGAUAUCUUACCGUGUUUCCUAAGAGUAACAAAGAGAUAACUAACCUACCUACAGCUUGUCGAACAAAGACCGAAACCUUACUGCCUAAACGAAUGACGUAGAGGAGAGAGGGCUAUGAUCACCGCGGUUUUCUCGACGAGUUUCGGCGUCGCGCAGUUGGCAGGCAUGCGAAUGAACGAGCACGACAGAGACCAGUUACCAACAGCGUUACUUGACUGACGAAGAACAAAAAUGAAGGACGAUACGAGGGAAUAGAAUGAAAAAAGAAAAGAGAGGAAAAAACGGACGACAGACAGUGGCGGGUGGUACACUCACCCCCGUAUACGCGACCGUUUGCGAUACGACAAUAAACCUAUGUACCAUAUGCCCUCUUAUGUAGAAAUCCUACCUGAAAUAUACAUAUAUAUACAUCUACAAA